AAUUAUCAUUGAAACCGUGUUUGAUUACCACGGUUUGAAAAACUCACGGUAAAUACUGUCCAGCAUCAACCAAAGUUAGCAACAGUCUGACGCACGUGUGAAAACAUGGGAGAUUUUUGCCUUCUAAAAAGACAAUCUGAAGUGUGGUCGUAUUUGGGGUUUUACAAGAGUGCUGAGAGAAACUUAAUCGAAGAUGGUCACCCUGUCUGCAGAACAUGCAAAAAUAAAUAGCUGCGAAAGGGGGCAACACUUCAAAUCUCUUGAGUCAUCUUCGUGACCACAAACCACUACUUAAUAGCGAAUGCAAGAGAGGUGUGCAGCAUGCAAACCCAGUGAUGCUACUGGUCCCUUAUCUACAGUUGUGACACAGGCACUCAGCAAGAAUUUAAAAGGCAGGCUGCUUAUGCACCCACAUCAAAAAAAUGCUCAAGACCUCACUGCAGCCCUUUCAUGUUACAUUGCAAAGGACAUGAUGCCAUUUCAAAUUGUUGAGGCCUGGCUUUCUGAGGCUGAACAUUAUUUUCCAAGACUGAAAUCCCAAACCUGUACAACCAGGUUAAAGCUGAUUUUGGGAAAAGUUUGGCUCAAGGCACAUGGUUUGCUGCAACUACUGACCUCUGGACCAGUGAAAGCAGGGGGUGGUUCAACCAAACAUCAGCUUCACUAUCCAUUACCUCACCCCAGACUGGAACAGGAAUCAAACUGCCUGUAAACACAGUUCUUCCCAGAAUAUCACUCAGCUCACAACAUCAGAGUUUUUUUGAGAAUAUGCUGGAAGGAAGACCUGGUCUGCGUUACCACAGACAAUUCAACAAACAUGAUCAAGGCUUUUGAAGAGUUCUCAGAUCUGUGGCUUGGGUGCUUUGGCCAUCAUUUGAACCUGGCCAUCUCAAAGGCUCUGAAAAUGAAGUCAAGGCCUGCCAUCAUCUGGUCCAAGGCUUCUUACGGAGCUGGAAGAGAAGGAGAGAACUGAGAGAAAAGCAAGCUGUCCUCAACAUGCCACAGAAAGCUCUGAACCAUGAUGUGCUGACCUGAUGGAUCUACACACAAGAUGCUUGAGCGUUUCCUCAGCCAACAGCAGCCAGUCUGUGCGACACUGGCUGGAGAAAGAGGAACAUGGCAUCUGAUGCCCAAGGACGCUGACAUAAGUGUCAUGGAGCAACUGUGCCAGCUACUUGAACCUCUGAAGUUUACAGAUGAACUUGCCUCAGAGACACGAGUGACACUGUCAGCCAUCAAGCCUGUCCUGGACCACAUCACCCGUGAUGUUCUGGUGGAAAAAGAUACGGAGCCAUCCCUGACCAAGGAGAUAAAAAGGGUAAUGAGAGAAGACCUUAACAGAGAAGGCAAAGAGAGUCAUGCACAUGGCUUGUUACAUUGACCCCUAUGUCAAAAGGAGCUUUUUAGAUGAGCCUGAGGCUGCAAAAGUUAACACUGACAGCUGUGUCCAGGAGGCCUUGAAGCUGGCAGCUGCACAAGUCAGGGAAGAACCACACAGCACCAGCAGCACCUCCACCGCCACCCCCACAGAGGUAUUGGAAAGGCUGGGUUGCUGAGAAAGAUUACCUCGCUGGCCAUGGCAGAACACUGACAUUCCUGUCUUGCAGGAUAUCACGCAUAGAACGAGCAGUAUGGCUGGUGGCAUUGCUGGAGGGUCAUGCCAGGAUGAGCCUGCAUGAAGGGUACCACAUGAGGGAGGAGGAUGUCUUCCCUGUAAUGCACAGCGUUGAGAUUACCUGCAAUGACAACAAGCUCAGUCCGAUGAUGCUGUGACGCACUGCCCCAGACCAUGACGGAUCCUCCACCUCCAAAUCAAUCGAACUCCAGAGUACAGGCCUCGGUGUAACGCUAAAUGCGAAUCCAACCAUCACCCCUGGUGAGGAAAAACCGUGACUCGUGAGUGAAGAGCACUUUUUGCCAGUCCUGUCUGGUCCAGCGACGGUGGGUUUGUUCCCAUAGGCGACGUUGUUGCCGGUGAUGUCUGGUGUGGACCUGCCUUACAACAGGCCUACAGGCCCUCAGUCCAGCUUCUCUCAGCCUAUUGCAGACAGUCUGAGCACUGAUGGAGGGAUUGUGCGUUCCUGGUGUAACUCGGGCAGUUGUUGCCAGCCUGUACCUGUCCCGCAGGCAGGUGUGAUGUUCAGAUGUACCGAUCCUGUGCAGGUGUUGUUACACGUGGUCUGCCACUGCGAGGACGAUCAGCUGUCCGUCCUGUCUCCCUGUAGCGCUGUCACCGCAGGUGUGUGUGUGUGUGUCCUGUGUAUCCAGUUUGUGUCCAGUGUGUGUAUGUCCGAUGUGUGUUUUCCACUGUGUCCUGUUUGUAUCCACACACACACACACACACACACACUGGACACACCUCUACAUACUUGAGUUUCCCCAGUCCAGCAGAAAGCAGUCUUGACUCCUGAAUCUUUCAGGUCAUUGUUACUCACAUCCAGCUCUCUCAGGUGUAAGCGAUUUUGAAUUCAGAGCUGAGACCAGAGAAGCACAGCCUUCCUCUGUUACUAGACAGCCUGCAAAGAGUAAAAUCAUAUUAAAACCACACUGACAGUGAAGAUAACAUUUGAAAUUUGACUCUGUACUCCAGCAUUUUGGAUUUCAGAUCAAAUGUUUCAUAUGAGGUGACAGUAGAUAAUGUCACCUUUUUAUUUGAGGGUAUUUCCAUACAUAUCUGUUUCACCGUUUAGAGAUGAAAGCACUUCAUGUAUCUAGUCCCCCUAUUUGAAUAAGUCACACGUAUUCUGACAAAUUCACUUCUAGUGUAUUAAACCUGCACUAGGGAAAAUUUUACCUCAUAGCCACAUGGUUAAUGUUAUUAAUUUAAUGUUAAUGCACACAAAGUGCAUAGUGCUAAUAAUUUAAUUUGAUGGUUGUUGAUUUUCAAUAUUAAACUUGACUAAAUGAU